rnacentral:rRNA from 1 species
GAUCAUGGCUCGGGAUGAACGCUAGCUACAGGCUUAACACAUGCAAGUCGAGGGGCAGCAUGGUCUUAGCUUGCUAAGGCCGAUGGCGACCGGUGCACGGGUGAGUAACACGUAUCCAACCUGCCAUCUACUCUUGGACAGCCUUCUGAAAGGAAGAUUAAUACAAGAUGGCAUCAUGAGUCCGCAUGUUCACAUGAUUAAAGGUAUUCCGGUAGACGAUGGGGA